rnacentral:rRNA from 1 species
GAUGAACGCUGACACAAUGCUUAACACAUGCAAGUCAACUUGAAGUUGGGUUUUUCACUUAGAUUUGGGUGGCGGACGGGUGAGUAACGCUUAAAGAACUUGCCUCACACCUUCGGACCACACUUACAAAUGAAUGCUAAUACCUGAUAUUAUGAUUUUAAGGCAUCUUAUAAUUAUGAUAACUAUAAGCUUUGUGAAAGAGCUUUGCUUCCUUUUAGUUAUUUGGACAGGUAACAUCUCACCUAGGCGAUGAUUGGUGGCCGGCAUGAGAUGGUGAACGGCU